rnacentral:rRNA from 1 species
UGAAUACGAGAUGCUACGGCGUCGAAGCAGUCUAUGUCAUACUUCCAAGAAAAGCUUGCACUGUCAUAAACAAAUAAUGCCUGUACCAUAACCGACACAGGUGGGUAGGUAGAGUAUACUAAGGGGCGCGAGAUAACUCUCUCUAAGGAACUCGGCAAAAUGACUCCGUAACUUCGGGAGAAGGAGUGCCUUAUUUUAUAAGGUUGCAAUAACAAGAUCCAAGCAACUGUUUACCAAAAACACAGGUCUCCGCUAAGUCGUAAGACGAUGUAUGGGGGCUGACGCCUGCCCAGUGCCAGAAGGUUAAAGAAGUUGGUUAGCAUCCGCGAAGCUGAUAACUGAAGCCCUGGUGAACGGCGGCCGUAACUAUAACGGUCCUAAGGUAGCGAAAUUCCUUGUCGGGUAAGUUCCGACCCGCACGAAAGGCGUAAUGAUUUGGAUACUGUCUCAGAGAGGGGCUCGGUGAAAUAGACUUGUCUGUGAAGAUGCGGACUACCUGCACCAGGACAGAAAGACCCUAUGAAGCUUUACUGUAACUUGAAAUCGAAAUUGGACUUUACUUGCGCAGUAUAGGUGGGAGGCGUUGAGAAUAUUCUUGCGGGAAUGUUGGAGCCAUCAGUGAGAUACACUCUUGUAAUGUUAGAUUUCUAACUUUGUAUCAUUAUCUGGUCAAAGGACAGUUUCAGGCGGGCAGUUUGACUGGGGCGGUCGCCUCCCAAACGGUAACGGAGGCGCACAAAGGUUUCCUCUGAACGGGUAGAAAUCGUAUCUAGAGUGUAAAGGCAUAAGGAAGCUUGACUGUGAGACCUACAAGUCGAGCAGGGACGAAAGUCGGUCUUAGUGAUCUGACGGUGCUGAGUGGAAAGGCCGUCACUCAACGGAUAAAAGUUACUCUAGGAUAACAGGCUGAUCUCCCCCAAGAGUUCACAUCGACGGGGAGGUUUGGCACCUCGAUGUCGGCUCAUCGCAUCCUGGGGCGGUAGUACGUCCCAAGGGUUGGGCUGUUCGCCCAUGAAAGCGGUACGCGAGCUGGGUUCAGAACGUCGUGAGACAGUUCGGUCCAUAUCCGGUGUAGGCGUUAGAAUAUUGAGAGGAGCCUUCUUUAGUACGAGAGGACCGAGAAGGACAUACCUCUGGUGUACCAGUUAUCGUGCCAACGGUAAACGCUGGGUAGCUAUGUAUGGAGUGGAUAACCGCUGAAAGCAUCUAAGUGGGAAGCCCACCUCAAGAUGAGUAUUCUC